GGAACAUUGUACAGAUAAUCUGUAAUUCAACUUCACACAAAUGAAUACUAUAAGGCCUUCUAUGAGUCAAAAACUCAACUCAAAAUCAGAACUAUAUAUCAAUGGAGAUAACUAAUGCAUCAUCACCCUUGUCAACGACGAACGUCUUGGUAAUUUUCUUGGAAGCAGUAACGAAAUCUACCUCAUACGAGCCAUGGAAUCCUCGAAACCUGAAUUGACCUUGGUCAUCGAUGUGACCAUGAGCAUGGGAUAACCAUUCUUGCUUAAGAGCAAGGUAUCGUUUUCCAGCUUCGUUGAGCUCACCUUCUGCAUUUACUAAAUGUGCAUUUUCUCGACUCAUGAACAGCUCCCAGAAUCCCCACAGUACUACACCUUCCACAGCAGGAUGAGCAAAAGAUUCUCGAAGCAUAACUUCUAAAUCAUCAGCUCUAACGUGUUCGUUAUUAGAAGAGACAUCAACUUCAGUAAACCAGAUUGGAAGUCCAAGAAUGCUCAGUUUAUCAAGAGCUGAACAGACAAUCGGUCCAACUGGGCAGUCGAUGUGUCCCUGAAUACCUAUACCUCCAACUGGUGCACCCUGAUCUUGGAGGUCAAGAAUAUGCUCGAUGUACUUUUCAGGGGAUGACCGAGUGUCACAGCCAUCCUCAACAUGGUAGUCAUUUACAAAUAAGAUCGCGGAAGGAUCCAGUUGGUGUGCUUUUUUAAACAUAUUUGCCCAUAUGUCUUUACCUAACCGUUCUUGGUAAUAAGAACCGUGCAUCAUCUCAUUAUUCACAUCAUAAUGUUUGAACUUACCUCUGUAACGUGUAAGUAGGCCCGAUAAACGGUUUUGAAGAGCUGCCAUCAAGUCAUUGUUGUUCAACGAGCGUAUCCAUUCUUGAACGGUGGACUCCACCUCCCAAAAUAUACAGUGACCACGAACUUGAAUGUUGUGUCUCGUGCAGAAGUCUAGGAGCUCAUCUGCAUCUCUGUAAUUGAACUUUCCUCGCUGUGCUUCGGUGCUGUACCACUUCAGCUCAUUUCCGAAGACAGCCCAAUUGAAGUUCUUGACAAAGAAAUCAUUGAAGUCUUCAUUGUCCAUGUUUGUUCUGCAAAUGCACGAUCCGAAGGGGAAACUGUUU
rnacentral:misc_RNA from 1 species